CUUGCAUUACAUAAACACAUGAACAGGAAAUCAUCAUGUGUAGAAAACAUAAAAAGGAUGGCUGUGAUAUUUGAUAGAUUUUGUAUGGAUUCUAAAAUCUAAUAUCAGAAGCAGGGUGGAGUUUAGGAAAAGACAGGUGGGAGGAUGGAGUUUACGAGGAGAAAGGCGGGGAGGGGGCAGAGGGAACUAUAGUGUAAGGAUCACAACUUUGUAUUACUUACACUACAGAAUCCCUUUAAGUGGAAGGAUGUCCUAAAAUAUACAGAAUAUUGUAAAAGCAAAGUGUAAUCCAUUCCAUAGUGUAUAUUACAAGCAGUACACAGGUGUUUGGUCCCCUACUGGUGCAUGACUGGACAAUAAUAGGGAAGCUAGUGGCAGACUAGGUAUGUCACAGAAAACUUGAGCCACAAUAAUGCUAGUUAGGGACAGAUCACCCCCUUGUUAUUAUUUAUAUAGCGCCAACAUAUUCUGCAGCGCUUUACAGUAGGUAGACGAACAAACAUGUAGUUGUAACCAGACAAGCUGGACACACAGGAACAGAGGGGUUGAGGGCCCUGCUCAAUGAGCUUACAUGCUAGAGGGAGUGGGGUAAAAUGACACAAAAGGUAAGGAAAGUAUUAGACUAAUGACAGUUGCAAGAGAGUAAUUAGUCAGGAGCUAUUAACCGUUUAAUUGAUACGCUUUUAUGAAGAAGUGGGUUUUUAACGAUUUUUUAAAGGAGUGGAGACUGGGUGAGCAUCGAACGGAGGAAGGAAGUGAGUUCCAAAGGAACGGUGCAGCCCUCGGGUAGUCUUGAAGGCGAGCAUCUUCAGUAAGUCUUCAGCAGAGUGUAAGGGCCUAGACAGGACAUACUUGUGUAUUAGGGAGGAUAGAUAGGUGGGAGCAGCAGCAUGUAGAGAUUUGAAAGCAAGAAUCCAAAUUUCUAAAUUGAGCCCUAUAUCUUACAGGAAGCCAAUGUAGGAACUGACAGAAGGGUGAGGCGUGGGAGGUGCGGGCGGACAGGAAGAUGAGCCUCGCCGCAUUCAUUAUGGACUGUAACGGUGCAAGUUGGGAGCACAUAAGACCACUGAAAAGCGGAUAACAGUAGUCAAGGCAAGAAAGGACAGUGGAAUGGAUCAGCACCUUAGUCGCAUGUGGCGUUAAGUAGGGCCAGAUGCGCGCAAUGUUUUUGAGAUGGGAGUGGCAGGAUUUAAAGAUAGACUGAACAUGAGGGGUGAAGGAGAGGUCGUAGUCAAGAGAACACCUAGGCAACGAGCCUGCGUGGUGGAGCUGAUGGUAGCACCGUUGACUUGGAGGGAGACAGACACAGGAGUAGCAACACUUAAGGGAGGAAAGACCAGAAUUUCAGUUUUGGUCAAGUUGAGUUUAAGGAAGUGGGC